CCCUGAGAUGUCCUGGGCCGCACGCGCGCUACACUGAUUCAUUCAGCGAGUUUUACCUUUACCGAAGGGUAUGGGAAAUCUUUUAAAAGUGAAUCGUGCUUGGGAUUGAGUGUUGUAACUUUCACUCAUAAACGAGGAAUUCCUAGUAGGUGCAAGUCAUCAGCUUGUGCCGAUUACGUCCCUGCCCUUUGUACACACCGCCCGUCGCUACUACCGAUUGGUGCUGUUAGUGAAAUCUUCAGAGGAUAAAAAGUUGUUGCAAGAUGACUUUUGGUCCAAAGUUGCUUAAACUUGCCGCACUAGAGGAAGUAAAAGUCGUAACA
rnacentral:rRNA from 1 species